rnacentral:rRNA from 1 species
CUACGGGCCGCUGCAGUGAGGAAUAUUGCACAAUGGGGAAACCCUGAUGCAGCAACGCCGCGUGGAGGAUGACGCAUUUCGGUGUGUAAACUCCUUUUAUGAGUCAAGAAAAUGACGGUAGCUCAUGAAUAAGCACCGGCUAACUCCGUGCCAGCAGCCGCGGUAAUACGGGGGGUGCAAGCGUUACUCGGAAUCACUGGGCGUAAAGGACGCGUAGGCGGGCUUGUAAGUCAGGUGUGAAAUCCUACAGCUUAACUGUAGAACUGCACUUGAAACUACGAGCCUAGAGUAUGGGAGGGGCAGAUGGAAUUAGUGGUGUAGGGGUAAAAUCCGUAGAUAUCACUAGGAAUACCGAAAGCGAAGGCGAUCUGCUGGAACAUUACUGACGCUAAGGCGUGAAAGCGUGGGGAGCAAACGGGAUUAGAUACCCUUGUAGUC